AGCACCUGCUUACCAGGGGCAAUUGGAACAACACUUGCACCUUUUCGGGUGGCCUGCGGUGGUGCCGCCACAAGGCUGGAUAAAUAGGAAACUCUUUCAGGAUCUUUAGAGGCCAUUUUCAUGACUGUGUUUAGCAAUGAAGAGGCAGGUUUUGGAGGGUUAAAGGGUGAGCAUUUACCAUAAAUGGGGAUUACAGAAAGGUCUGAAGAAUCAGCACAUGGAUCAAAAGCCAAUGCUGUGGAAAGAAGAGAACUGAGCAGGAUUGCAACAAUGGCUAACUCCAUUGAUAUUAUUUUACUCAACCAGAGUCCAGUGAAGUGUGUGUCGAGGAUAAUAGAGAAAUUUAUAGGAAGUUGGAGGAAGUGAGUGAUAAAAGUGUCAUUUUUGGCAUGCAUGCACGUGAAUGAGAGUGAAAGCUUCGAAAAUAUAAUUUAGUUGAAUAAAAAAUUACUUUUUCAGAUAAAUGUUCUUAAAUGACAGCAUAAUUGCAGGAAAAUGUUAUCCCUUCCAAAACUAGAAUGCGUAUAAAAACUUGGACGACACAACAUACGUUGUCAACAAUUAUCAAUUGGUAAUGAGAGACGCACGUGCCUUGUUUCAUUCACCCAUUCAUAGUGUCAAAAGGGAAACCCCCAUGCAACAUUUAUAGCAGUUUGUGCUCAAAUAUGAUUCAAAUCAUAUGAUUAAGAAAACGAGGACUCUAUAUGAACUAGACAAUAAAUAUCGAGAUGGUAAGAGUGUCUUGAAACCCAGAACUCAAAACACCUAAAACAUAAUUUUAACAUAAUAAAGCCACACACAGUGACAGAUCGUAUAUGUAUUAUUAGAAGAAUUAUUGUUUAAUCUUUAAAUUAUGAACAAGUGGAUGUGAAGAUUUUUUAGUGUGUUGUGAAUAGAUUGGAUAAAUAAUAUCAAGAAUUCUUGGCUGACAGUUUGCAAGCAAGUGGUUCCAAAAAUGCUGUCGGUCACGGACUCACGGACGGAUUUUCUAAUUCACGAGCAAUUAUCGAACUUCUUUUUCAUUUUUGUCUUUAAUGAAUCAGCAAUUCUUUGUCUCAUAUAAUUUCUUGUUUAUAUAUGGUAAUUUCGUGCUGUUAAGCCAGAAGAGAGUCUGGUAUGCUACUACUGGAUGGUUUCACACUGCACAAUGAAGAAAGAACUAUCAGCAUUAGACUUGAGUACUUUAGUUGAUAGUCCCAAAAUGGUAGAAGAAACGUGCCUCAGUAAGUCAAUUAGAAAUAUAAGUAAAUGUUUAGCUUCAUUGCGGAGACUAGUUUAUUUUUAGUGACCUGUGUCGAGACUGACUGAGUUCGUUUGAUGCUCUCAGCGAGGGACUUUUAUUUGAUUUGUUAUCACCGGUAGACCGUGGGUCAUAGUGGUGCUGUAAAGUCCAUUAAUUCACUCACUCCAACAAAAAUCAACGAUCACCCAAAAAAAUCAACUUUAUUUCUAAUCAAGUUAAAGUAGAUGCAUGAAUUAUUUUCGAUUAUCUUAUUAAUCCAUUGCUAAUUGAAAUAUCUAGGGUUAUUGAUCUAAUUCACUGAACUUUGCAUAAAGUUUUCACUAAAAUUUAAAAAGUUUCCCAUUAAUCAAUGAACUUUUGUAAUAUAUAAUCUCAUCCGUUGCUCAAUCAACGAUCGUUCGAAAAAGCAAUGGAAUUGAUAAUGUGGCAAAUGGAGUCCUGUGGCAUGAUAUUACAAUUAGUGGAUGCCAAAUCAUGAAGUUGUUGUUGACACGAAGUAUUGUUUUAAAAGAAGUUUUUUACACCAUUUAAAAAAGAAAAUAAUCGCAAGCAUUUGAAAUUUCGCAAUUAUAGAGAGUGACGUCUGUGUUUUGUUUGUUAUAUUCCGCAAGUGUAUGAAUCAUAACAAGUAAUAUAUUGGACUAAUAAAUCAAGAUAUCGUUCCCACUACUAUCUACCAUUGGUUAAAUUAUUCCAAACUUUAAUUUGAUUGAAAACAAAUAAUAAGGUUUGUGAUUAGUGUUUAAAUUAUUCUAACUAAAUAAAAGUCACACACAAUUUAUCAAAUUUGGGUUUUAAAAGUAUGACAGUGGAUGCUAAGACUUACAAUUUUAUCUAUGGAUCCCCUUUAAUUUUCCAAUCAAUAUUUAUUACUAUUGCAGCAUUAGGUCAAAUUUUUCCAAAGUAUUCAAUUUACCCCUCUCGAUUUCUUAUUGAGUCUAUUUAAUUAAUUCAAUCUCAUCUCUAUGUGAAUCAGUCUUAAUUAAGCGUAUUAUUUGUUCUAAGAAUUCAUAUAAUAACUGCAACAAUUAAGAUAUGUAUCUCUACACGUUAUACUAAAUUACCAGAUUUUAAUAUGUGGUCUAAAUCUAAAACUCACCUCUCAAUUCGUAAUAGAUUCACAAAGUCAUUAAAUUAUCGAUUAAGUAAUUCAAAGCAUUAAAUACAUAAUUAAAAACAACACAUAUUUAUAAUGAAGGAACUUUAAUCUUGAAUAAAAGAAAUAAAAAAUCACACAUAAAUUACAUUAUUCAGUAUCCGACUAAGGCGAUUCAAAGUGCACUAGAAAAGAUAACUCAGAGCACUACAAAUUACUAGACAUGUCUUUUUUUCCAAUUCGAACAUUUACUACGUUAAAAAUGGGCAUUCUCGAAUCUUCAUCCUGAUGUCCAAACUUUGAAUCUUGCUCUUUUUCACCAAUUUUCACUUCUUUCUUUCAAUUCCACUUCCAUUCAUCAAAUUUCACCUAAUAAACAAAAUAAACAAUAAAAGAGGCUUAAUUGUUCAAAAGAACUAUUAAAUAUCUAUAUUUUUUGAAGUUCAAAUAAAAUAAAUUUAUCAGCCUGUGUGGUGGUUGGUUUUUGAUGAUGAAUUCGUAAUAACAAUUGAAUUAGGAAGAAACCUAAACAAUUUUGGAGAUUUUGCUAAGUUGGAAAAAAAUUGGAAAAAAAAAACAAUUUUGUGGAGGCGGGAGAAAAAGAUGGAUAUAGAUGAGGAGAUUCAGGUUUUGGGGGAGGCGAUUUUCGGAAACAAUGGAAGACGGCCUCUAUUUUCCCCAUAGUGUUUGGGGUGAUUUUGCAGGGGGAGAAAGGCAUGUUAUCACGCGUUUUCUACAACGUGAAAUCGUCGCAAGUAUACGGUAUCAAAUUUUGUAAUAUUAGAAGUAGAGUGUCAAACCCAUAAGGAUCGAUAUUUGAUUCCUACCAAUUACCAUGAUUAUUUUAGCUUUUACUUUAUCUAGAAAAUUAAAUUUAAAAUCGAUAUUUUUAUAUUAAUCUAACGUGGAUGUGAUGACAGUUCAAGAAAGUUAAAGCAUUUAUAAGAGAUUUGUCAACGUAAGAAAGCAUAGGGAAUGAUUUUACUACCCUAUCAACAAUGUUUUUCGACUUCGAUACUUUGAUUUCAAUGGACCUUUCUCUAAGAUACUUUAAUUCCAGUAUCUAUUCCGAAUCAAGCAUAUAGAAAUUAUCAAGUACGUGGUUAUUAAGUGAAAUAAGCCUCAAAGAUUUCAUAUUUUUCUCUCAAAACAUACAAAAUCUAAGUUUUGUUAUUCUUAGAUCACACCUAAACCUCCUUCUCUCGAAUGCCAAAAUUAAGAACAUCUAAUUAUUCAAUUAUUGAUCAGGUAAUUGUAAGUAAUGCGCAAGAAUAAACACAAAUAAAUUAAUGGAAAGAUCAAAAGAUGAGGCGUGACAAUGCUCCAUAAUUGAUUGUGUUUCCUCCAUCAAGACUCAGCUCCUGGUUAUCAUAUCAGCACAAUUCUUGAAGAAUAGUAGAUCAUCCCAUAAAUAUGACUUGACACCAUGCAAGAAUUUCUUCUAUUAAUGAGAAGUCAAUUCAGGCGACAUCUUUCCACAAGCCAAGUAGUUAACAAAAUCAGCAUACCAUGGAAUCCUUGAUGAAACCACUAAAAGAAGCUCGUAAAAAAGUUGUUUGAAUCUUACUGUUAUCUAUUACUUUUUCAUUUUCUAACCGUGAGAAAUGAUCAAAAAUUACAUCGCCACUAAACAUGUCUCACCUACAACCUCCUUCCCAUUUACAUAUGUUACAGAAUCCCCAUUUACCUUGUCCUCCACCCCAAAUACAACCACAUAAUAUGCCUUCAAUUGCCUCCCGGGCAUAGCCCAAUGGUGCAAAGGACGGAGGUGAGGUUAUCUCACGUCUUGCUGACAGCCACAGUGUGGGGGUUCGAUUCCUGAGACAUGAAAUUGGACUCCUUGUAGGCGUAGCGUACAGGCAGCUCUUGUUCUCUGGCCUGAUGGGGCACAUUCCGCGAUUUACCUCCCUCACAAAGCUAUAGGGGGUGCAAGGAUCUCUGUCCGUCCCAUCAAUGCCAAUGCCCGGUCCUAUGGUAAUAAUAGGCAGUUACUGCUUUGCCGAUCUUUUAUAUUUGAACUUCACCAAAUUGUGAUAUUUAACAGUUUCCUCUCUAUGAGUGCAUGUUCACAUGCACAAAUGGGAAUACUCCUGCAUGUAUAUUAAUAUUGCUUUAGGUUUUCUGUUUGCUUCUUAGUGUUCUGCUUAGGAUCUUUAGAAAUCAUAAAUUUGCCAACUGAGACAAGCUGAGAUUAUAUGGUGGCAAGAACUAUUCUUAUACUCAACAUCCGACACAAUGCUCAUAUUGGAGUCUCCAAAAAUUAUUGACCAUAGCCUAUUUUACUAAACAUUAUUGUUGACUAGGCUUUUUAAACAAAUCCCCCAAAUUCCUUCCCUGUUGGAAGUAUCAUUGUGCAAACCAUCAAAUAAAGGGCACUGUGAACUCGUGCACACAAAAAUACUUUGAAUACAUCUAGAUAACGCAAUACUCAAUUUCGUUCAAAUACAGAGAUAUAGAAGAUGAUGAUGGAUUUGAAAAGAAACCUAAUUACAAAGCUCACGAGCAAUACCCAAGCGAUAAUUUACAGUGUCGAACAAGAUCCUCAGGUUUUGCUGCUGGAAAUUGGCUAUAAUAUUUAACACAGAGUUCACAUUAUUUGGUGCAGCUGCCAUAGCCAAGCAAGCCAAAGAACCUGAACUACUGUGUAUCAAACUGUUCUCCAUUGGCAGCACCAAAUCCAUUCCUGUAAAAUGGAGAACUACAGGUGGAGCUAUAUCUUCAUUUGUGGCCAAAAAGCAGGUAUCGAAUGCCCCAAGUGAGCUAAAUGGCCCUUUCACCUGUUUUCUGAACUCAUCCCGAAUUGCAUUGUAUACGGGUUGAACAAAACGGGUUAUAACCGUGCCCGAAUCUAUGAUGGUACCUGCUCCUGUGUUUGGGUCAAAUGCUAGGGGUUCUUGGGCUAUGGGGACCUGGACCUUGCCGAUACUUACUCCGGUGAGGUUCACGUAGUAUAGGGAUGGACGAUGCGGGUUUUUGAGAAGUGGGGUGGUUCUGAUGUUCUUGGGUUGACCCAAGGGUCCGAGUUUGAGCGAACCUGAGAAGUAAUAGGACUUGAAGCUUGGUAAACAGUAGGAGAAUACACCUGAAUAAAGGGACCCGGAUUGUGAGAGUAAUGACAUGGAGCCCCGACCCAUGCCCAAUAACCCCUGGGGCGGUACUGACCCUCCGGAAACCGAAUUGAUGCAUCCAAAAGCGUAAUUCGGAAUGGCAUCAUUGGCUAGCCAGAGUGUGUCAUGGGACAGAAUGGCGGAGAAAGAGGAGUCGCCGCCGUAGGACUGGUUGAACGAGCAUGAAGUGGCAGCGUCAGUGGCCGGGCAGGAGACACCGCUUACUUUGGUGCAUUCGGGGACUGAGCAGUCUAAAGACGAGUAAGUGGAGGAGGCCUUUGGUGUGAACACGGCCGAGGAGGCAGCGCAACCGGUGCAGCCACUGCAUGGAACCCAUGCAGCAUCACUGCUUGUAUCCAACACCAUGAACAAGAGCUGACCCGGAUUCCCAAUCUUCGCCCGGAGAACAUAGUUUCCGAUGUUCAGCACCUGCUUACCAGGGGCAAUUGGAACAACACUUGCACCUUUUCGGGUGGCCUGCGGUGGUGCCGCCACAAGGCUGGAUAAAUAGGAAACUCUUUCAGGAUCUUUAGAGGCCAUUUUCAUGACUGUGUUUAGCAAUGAAGAGGCAGGUUUUGGAGGGUUAAAGGGUGAGCAUUUACCAUAAAUGGGGAUUACAGAAAGGUCUGAAGAAUCAGCACAUGGAUCAAAAGCCAAUGCUGUGGAAAGAAGAGAACUGAGCAGGAUUGCAACAAUGGCUAACUCCAUUGAUAUUAUUUUACUCAACCAGAGUCCAGUGAAGUGUGUGUCGAGGAUAAU
rnacentral:lncRNA from 1 species